UACGGAGGGUGCGAGCGUUGUUCGGAAUCACUGGGCGUAAAGGGCGCGUAGGCGGCGCGGUAAGUAGGGGGUGAAAUCCUGCGGCUCAACCGCAGAAUGGCCUUCUAGACUGCCGGGCUCGAGCACAGUAGAGGCAGACGGAAUUCCCGGUGUAGCGGUGGAAUGCGUAGAUAUCAGGAGGAACACCAAUUGCGAAGGCAGUCGCCUGGGACAAUACUGACGCUGAAACUCGAAAGCGUGGGGAGCAAACAGG
rnacentral:rRNA from 1 species